AAGGCUGCUAUUGUAAAUUCCUUUCGCUCUUCAGUGUUAGCUUCAUUGUUAGCCUGGUGGAAGACAGCAGCCAUUUUUAGCUGAAAUAAAACAAUCUCAUGAUUUUAGCUCGACAAAUCAUUACAACUCUGUUGCAUCGCUGUUGCAUGUGUAACCAUGCAAGGGCAGCUUUGUACUUAAGUGGUGCGUCUUUAGUGCAACUGCAAUAAAGAUAAUCUUGUCUGAAGCAAGCUUGCUGUCUUCAAGCAGUAGGGAGUCUCGCAGGGGCCUCCCUACUGAAAAAACCCAUGUAAACUCUGUAUGAGGAUAGAAAACUGGGUGAGUUGAUAUUAGCUCACGGCUAAUAACAGCAAUGCGCUGAAAACAAAGAUGAAGGAAGGCUUGGAUACAACACAAGCGCUGUAGAGUGCGCAUUAACUUGCUACUUUGUAUACCCUCGUUACUUAUACCUUCGUGCUACUUAUACUGUCGUUGUAUAGGGAUACAGACUUUUUUCAUAACCUUUAUGAGAUUCACAGAGAAUGAUGUAUUAAGUUAUGCAACAAUAUUAACAAAGUAGGCGGAAUGCAAUUGAAACACACACAAAAAGGCCCGAUGAAGUGCCGAAACAGUGCGGCUGAGUGCUAGUCCCCCGUUAAAUGACAGUAUGAGCUUCUUUCAAGUAAAUAAAAACGUUCUGCGCAUUUCA